AGUGAACGCUGGCGGUAGGCCUAACACAUGCAAGUCGAACGGCAGCACAGUAAGAGUUUGCUCUUACGGGUGGCGAGUGGCGGACGGGUGAGGAAUGCAUCGGAAUCUACUUUUUCGUGGGGGAUAACGUAGGGAAACUUACGCUAAUACCGCAUACGACCUACGGGUGAAAGCAGGGGAUCUUCGGACCUUGCGCGAUUGAAUGAGCCGAUGUCGGAUUAGCUGGUUGGCGGGGUAAGGGCCCACCAAGGCGACGAUCCGUAGCUGGUCUGAGAGGAUGGUCAGCCACACUGGAACGGAGACACGGUCCAGGGUCCUGCGGGAGGCAGCAGUGGGGAAUAUUGGACAAUGGGCGCAAGCCUGAUCCAGCCAUACCGCGUGGGUGAAGAAGGCCUUCGGGUUGUAAAGCCCUUUUGUUGGGAAAGAAAAGCAGCAGGUUAAUACCCCGCUGUUCUGACGGUACCCAAAGAAUAAGCACCGGCUAACUUCGUG
rnacentral:rRNA from 1 species